AUAACGAAUAUUUUACAUAUUAGAGUUUGGGGGAGCCAUACAGUAAUACUUUAAUGGAAAUAUAAGUACAUACAAGGGCCUAUUAGGGUGCAAUUAAAUGGGUGCAAAAAGACUAAUUAUGUACAUAUAUUUAUGGAUACAUUUUAACGAUAACUUCCCUCUGAAAUUGACAUUUCGGGAAGUGAAGCAAGUUUGAAGCUGGCUGAUAUUUUUUUUAUUUAAAUGGAGACUACGAAGCGCUCAUGCGUAAAGGGACGGUUUACAAAGAUAAAGGGAAGUAUGCGGUGUCAGCGUGAGAUAGAAGGCUUGCUUCCUGUUCCUUUUUGUAUAAAAAAAAUAUUAAGUGUGAGACUUCAAAAUCUUGUAGUCUUUGAACCGUUGGAAAUCUUACAACGCCAUUUGGAGAACUGCCUUAUUGCGCACGUAACGCACAUUUCAUACUUCCAUCCAAAUAUGAACAUAAUGCGUGCUCUUUAACUACAUUUAUAUGGGGCCAAGGUUUGUGGUGAGACUACAGUGCGGAGUCACAUACUUUCAUUGCGGAGUGACAAGAAGAUAGGGGGCGUGAGCUAACUAGAAUGCAGCACUUGUUUUACUACCCUACUACAUCCCAAGUUUACUGUAGACUGUGAGGUAUGGUUCAUUGCCACUGUAUCCUAUAUCCAGAGUCUACUGUAGACUGUGAGGUAUGGUUCAUUGCCACUGUAUCCUAUAUCCAAAGUUUACUGUAGACUGUGAGGUAUGGUUCAUUGCCACUGUAUCCUAUAUCCAAAGUCUACUGUAGACUGUGAGGUAUGGUUCAUUGCCACUGUAUCCUAUAUCCAAAGUUUACUGUAGACUGUGAGGUAUGGUUCAUUGCCACUGUAUCCUAUAUCCAAAGUCUACUGUAGACUGUGAGGUAUGGUUCAUUGCCACUGUAUCCUAUAUCCAGAGUUUACUGUAGACUGUGAGGUAUGGUUCAUUGCCACUGUAUCCUAUAUCCAGAGUUUACUGUAGACUGUGAGGUAUGGUUCAUUGCCACUGUAUCCUAUAUCCAGAGUCUACUGUAGACUGUGAGGUAUGGUUCAUUGCCACUGUAUCCUAUAUCCAAAGUCUACUGUAGACUGUGAGGUAUGGUUCAUUGCCACUGUAUCCUAUAUCCAAAGUCUACUGUAGACUGUGAGGUAUGGUUCAUUGCCACUGUAUCCUAUAUCCAAAGUUUACUGUAGACUGUGAGGUAUGGUUCAUUGCCACUGUAUCCUAUAUCCAAAGUCUACUGUAGACUGUGAGGUAUGGUUCAUUGCCACUGUAUCCUAUAUCCAAAGUUUACUGUAGACUGUGAGGUAUGGUUCAUUGCCACUGUAUCCUAUAUCCAAAGUUUACUGUAGACUGUGAGGUAUGGUUCAUUGCCACUGUAUCCUAUAUCCAAAGUCUACUGUAGACUGUGAGGUAUGGUUCAUUGCCACUGUAUCCUAUAUCCAAAGUUUACUGUAGACUGUGAGGUAUGGUUCAUUGCCACUGUAUCCUAUAUCCAAAGUUUACUGUAGACUGUGAGGUAUGGUUCAUUGCCACUGUAUCCU